UAUUAAAUACUGCAGAGAGUUUGGUAAUUUUUUACAUUAUUUUUUUUUACUAAUGUUAGAAAUUAAAUAUGUUUUUUUUUAGCCUUGCUAAGUCAUAGAAUACUGGAAAUAUAUAUUUUUUAUUCCGUCUAGUCAGAAAAGGGAUCAAGUUCAAGUCUUGAAGUUAAGAUGAUUGCCUUGAAGGACCAAUACUAUAUUGUUUAAUGUUAUUUCAAUGACUGGUUGCUAAGCAUUCCUAAAAAACUUUGCCAAUUUCACGAUUUACUUGAUGAGUUAGUUUACACUUCUGUUUCUUAAUUACUCUGUCAAAAGCACAAAAAAAGUAUAAAAUGGAAAGCUCUUUUGAUGUUGUUCAGAGAAAGCUGUUUUGAUUCGUUAAUGGCAAACAAUAGAAAAUUUCAGCAUAAUAUCUAUACGUCAGCUAACGAUAGGCGUCUCAAGUCAAGCCAAGGUGGAACAGCAUUGGCGAUGAUUGCGUGACAACGUGGGAGUUAAGUCGUUAAUAUGCGAACUCUGAAUACCAGGCAUCUUCCAGUUUAAAUAAAGGUUCCCUUGGUAUACCGAACUCUGCCAUUAGUACUACACUUUUCUACGCUACUCGUGGGAACAACAUGGAACAAAAAAAAUUUAAUGGAAGGCUGUUUUGAUGUCACUCACUUAAUAAAUGCCAUGACAUGUUAUUAAUAAUAAUAAAAUUGAAGCUUCAUUAAUAUUAUAGCCCAACCGUAUACAUGUGCAUGGGUAUGUUUAUGAUGUGUUUUGACGAAACUUAAAAUGCAAUUAAUACACCGUUAUUUGAUAUAUAAUGCACUGUUUCUAAUUUGACAAUUUAAAAUGGCAUUUGAUGUAAAAAAAUUAAAAUACAGUAAAACUUAACACGGAAACCUGUCUAUAACGGAACAUUUGUAUGUUUUAAUUUGCAAUAAGAAUUGAAAAAAUACAUUGACACUAAAAAAAAAGUAUACAGUAAUAAAAGAAAAAGAAGAAAAUCAUUAGUAAAUUUGAAAAGUUACGCUCUUCAACAAAAUAAUUUUUUUACCAAUCUGUCAAAAGUCUUUCACAAAC